rnacentral:rRNA from 1 species
UACGUAGGGUGCGAGCGUUGCCCGGAUUUAUUGGGCGUACAGGGCGCGUAGGCGGUUUGUCGCGUCUGCCGUGAAAGUCCGGGGCUCAACUCCGGAUCUGCGGUGGGUACGGGCAGACUAGAGUGAUGUAGGGGAGACUGGAAUUCCUGGUGUAGCGGUGAAAUGCACAGAUAUCAGGAGGAACACCGAUGGCGAAGGCAGGUCUCUGGGCAUUAACUGACGCUGAGGAGCGAAAGCAUGGGGAGCGAACAGG